AGCGGUGAUGGAUUCCCAUGCCACGGCGGGCUCCCUGCCACUGUGCAGCCAACCGCCGUCGCUGCAGCCCCUUCACUCGUGCUCCAACCACUCGGAGCCUCCCGCGUUGCCUGUACAACAUACCCGGUUCUCGGGCAAACGACUUCGUCCAACACGCUCGUCCGCUCCCCUCGCCUUUGUGCGGGCGCGGAGCGGCAACGUCGGCGGUCCUCGUUCUCCCUCGGACGACGGCACGGCUUUGGCCCCUCGUCUCGUCCCGAUCGGCCCUCGGGGAUUCGCCAGCGCUCGCGGACACGGUAGACAAUGUUGGCUCGGGGCCUUCGUAGCCCUCGCACCACGAUCGGUCGGCUCACUUCGCCGCCCUCGACNAGACGACCGUCGGGCCCGUCGUCCCCGCACNGCUCGCCUAACGGCGUCGGGCGGGCACA
rnacentral:misc_RNA from 1 species